rnacentral:lncRNA from 1 species
UCAAAGAUAAUUUAUGUCACGUCAUUUAAAUUCAAAUCUAGCAUAAAAAAGUGACCGAUCAUAAACAUUACAACUCACAACGAAAAACACUUAUUAAGUAUACCAAGUAAAUUAUGUGAUUAAAUAUACCAACUAAAAUUAAAAUUAUACUCCUUAAUAUUUUAGUAAGAUCAAAUAAAAAUAAAUAAGUAUAAAUGUUUGGUAUAAAACUGUCACUUUUAUUUUGCCUUGUUCCAAAAAAUUUGAAUGGAUAAUUUGUAAGGGGUAGGCUAGUGGAGCCUAUAUAGGAAGUUCUGCAUUGCAAGUUCAAAAUGUGAAAAAGGUCAAAUUGCAUGUCACUUCUGUUGCUUCGAGAGAGGAUGUGACAUCACGUGAUAAUAAUUCGCAAGAGAGAUUUAAGUAUCUUACAAUCUCAAUUUUGUUAAUGUUCAUAAAAGAAUUUAAAAUGCAAGUUGACCUUAGAUUUUCAUUUCAAGAGGUUGCGCAUUAUCAUCGAACGCACAUUACAUGAAAAAAGAGAAACCGGAGUGCAUCCGCUGCGAGGUGGCCGAGUGUCAUGCACGUAUGAGGACCUCCAUGGAUCUUCAUCUUCAUCGCUACUUUGUGCAUCGCUUAGGGCCUAGGUGGUGGAGAAUCACCUAGAGCUAGAUGAGAAAUAGUCAUACCUGGUUGCGCCCUGUUUUUUUUUUCUUUUUGCUACAUUGCUCUUGUUUCUAUGUUGGACAUUAAACUCUUUGUAGGCAUGUUUGUAGUUGUGGAUGUGCAGUGCUCAUACUUUUAAUCUCCUAAUACCUAAACCAUCAAUCAUGCAUGCAAUUUGGACAAUAAUAUUUUCUAUCUUACAAGUUGGAUAUGUAUGUAUUUAUCCUUGUGACGUAUGGUUGGGUAAGAUCGUCCUACAUUUUUUUUCUUUUUUUUGCGGAAAGAUGCGAUAUCCUUCUGCCUUUGCAUCAAGUGAUGUACACAUCCUUUUAUUGAUUUUUUAAAAGUGCAUCAUCCGCCUUUGCAUC